UGCCAGCAGCCGCGGUAAUACGGAGGAUGCAAGCGUUAUCCGGAUUUAUUGGGUUUAAAGGGUUCGUAGGCGGGAAUAUAAGUCAGUGGUGAAAGCCUGCAGCUUAACUGUAGAAUUGCCAUUGAUACUGUAUUUCUUGAAUAUAUACGAAGUAGGCGGAAUGCGUCAUGUAGCGGUGAAAUGCACAGAUAUGACGCAGAACACCGAUAGCGAAGGCAGCUUGCUAGUAUAUUAUUGACGCUCAGGAACGAAAGCAUGGGGAGCGAACAGGAUUAGAUA
rnacentral:rRNA from 1 species